rfam:Clostridium sp. ATCC 29733 genomic scaffold Scaffold213, whole genome shotgun sequence.
GGAAAAGCCGCUCCGUGCAGAUGGAAAGCGAUGAGACGCUGUUCGGAGC